rnacentral:rRNA from 1 species
UGGGGAAUAAUGGACAAUGGGAGAAAGCCUGAUCCAGCCAUGCCGCGUGUGUGAAGAAGGUCUUCGGAUUGUAAAGCACUUUAAGUUGGGAGGAAGGGCAUUAACCUAAUACGUUAGUGUUUUGACGUUACCGACAGAAUAAGCACCGGCUAACUCUGUGCCAGCAGCCGCGGUAAUACAGAGGGUGCAAGCGUUAAUCGAAAUUACUGGGCGUAAAGCGCGCGUAGGUGGUUUGUUAAGUUGGAUGUGAAAUCCCCGGGCUCAACCUGGGAACUGCAUUCAAAACUGACUGACUAGAGUAUGGUAGAGGGUGGUGGAAUUUCCUGUGUAGCGGUGAAAUGCGUAGAUAUAGGAAGGAACACCAGUGGCGAAGGCGACCACCUGGACUAAUACUGACACUGAGGUGCGAAAGCGUGGGGAGCAAACA